rnacentral:rRNA from 1 species
GUGAGGUAACCCGCAAGGGAGCCAGCCGCCGAAGGUGGGGCAAGUGAUUGGGGUGAAGUCGUAACAAGGUAGCCGUACCGGAAGGUGCGGCUGGAUCACCUCCUUUCUAAGGA